rnacentral:rRNA from 1 species
UACGGAAGGCAGCAGUGGGGAAUAUUGCACAAUGGGCGCAAGCCUGAUGCAGCCAUGCCGCGUGUAUGAAGAAGGCCUUCGGGUUGUAAAGUACUUUCAGUCGUGAGGAAGGUGUUAAGGUUAAUAACCUUAGCAAUUGACGUUAGCGACAGAGGAAGCACCGGCUAACUCCGUGCCAGCAGCCGCGGUAAUACGGAGGGUGCGAGCGUUAAUCGGAAUUACUGGGCGUAAAGGGCACGCAGGCGGUUAAUUAAGUUGGAUGUGAAAUCCCCGGGCUUAACCUGGGAAUGGCAUUCAAGACUGGUUAGCUAGAGUCUUGUAGAGGGGGUAGAAUUCCAUGUGUAGCGGUGAAAUGCGUAGAGAUGUGGAGGAAUACCGGUGGCGAAGGCGGCCCCUGGACAAAGACUGACGCUCAUGUGCGAAAGCGUGGGGAGCGAAACAGGGAUUAGAU